rnacentral:rRNA from 1 species
AACGAACGCUGGCGGCAUGCCUAACACAUGCAAGUCGAACGAGACCUUCGGGUCUAGUGGCGCACGGGUGCGUAACGCGUGGGAACCUGCCCUUAGGUUCGGAAUAACUCCCCGAAAGGGGUGCUAAUACCGGAUAAUGUCUUCGGACCAAAGAUUUAUCGCCUUUGGAUGGGCCCGCGUUGGAUUAGCUAGUUGGUAGGGUAAAAGCCUACCAAGGCGACGAUCCAUAGCUGGUCUGAGAGGAUGAUCAGCCACACUGGGACUGAGACACGGCCCAGACUCUUACGGGAGGCAGCAAUGGGGAAUAUUGGAAAAUGGGCGAAAGCCUGAUCCAGCAAUGCCGCGUGAGUGAUGAAGGCCUUAGGGUUGUAAAGCUCUUUUACCCGGGAUGAUAAUGACAGUACCGGGAGAAUAAGCUCCGGCUAACUCCGUG